rnacentral:rRNA from 1 species
GAUCAUGGCUCAGGACGAACGCUGGCGGCGUGCUUAACACAUGCAAGUCGAACGAGAAUCUGUGGAAAGAGGAUUCGUCCAAUUGAAGCAGAGGACAGUGGCGGACGGGUGAGUAACGCGUGAGGAACCUGCCUUUUCAGAGGGGGGACAACAGUUGGAAACGACUGCUAAUACCGCAUAACACAUAGGUGUCGCAUGGCACUUAUGUCAAAGAUUUAUCGCUGAAAGAUGG